rnacentral:ncRNA from 1 species
CGAUGUCGGCUCAUCACAUCCUGGGGGUGAAGAAGCUCCCAAGGGUUUGGCUGUUCGCCAAUUAAAGUGGUACGCGAGCUGGGUUCAGAACGUCGUAAAUCAUUGCGACCCAUAUUGGUAACGAUAUGGUAAAAUCCGACUAAUAACGGUGGAAUCCUUAUUUAAAAACAUUAGACCGAACGGAAAUAAGGACAAUACCGUGGGAAGAAUCAAAAUAUGGAAAAUAUUUCAGAAACAACAUUUGAUUCCCCGUAACGACUGAUCCGAAAGGAAAGAUAGAAGGUACCCGAUAUUCGGGAUAAAAACUUCUAUAAUACGUCGGCUCCUGUUAUAGACAGGAUGAAGAUAUAGUCUAUGCCAUUAGUAAUAAUGGAAAUGUAUAACAUGGAGACAGUUC